AUUGAACGCUGGCGGCAGGCUUAACACAUGCAAGUCCAGCGGUAGCACAAGAGAGCUUGCUCUCUGGGUGACCAGCGGCGGACGGGUGAGUAAUGUCUGGGAAACUGCCUGAUGGAGGGGGAUAACUACUGGAAACGGUAGCUAAUACCGCAUAACGUCCCAAGACCAAAGAGGGGGACCUUCGGGCCUCUUGCCAUCAGAUGUGCCCAGAUGGGAUUAGCUAGUAGGUGGGGUAAUGGCUCACCUAGGCGACGAUCCCUAGCUGGUCUGAGGGGAUGACCAGCCACACUGGAACUGAGACACCGUCCACACUCCUACGGGAGGCAGCAGUGGGGAAUAUUGCACAAUGGGCGCAAGCCUGAUGCAGCCAUGCCGCGUGUGUGAAGAAGGCCUUCGGGUUGUAAAGCACUUUCCGCGAGGAGGAAGGUGGUGAACUUAAUACGUUCAUCCGUUGACGUUACUCGCCGAACAAGCACCGGCUAACUCCGUGCCAGCAGCCGCGGUAAUCGGAGGGGGCCAGGCGUUAUUCGGAAUACUGGGCGUAAAGCGCACGCAGGCGGUUUGUUAGUCAGAUGUGAAAUCCCCGGGCUCAACCUGGGAACUGCAUUUGAAACUGGCAAGCUAGAGUCUCGUAGAGGGGGGUAGAAUUCCAGGUGUAGCGGUGAAAUGCGUAGAGAUCUGGAGGAAUACCGGUGGCGAAGGCGGCCCCCUGGACGAAGACUGACGCUCAGGUGCGAAAGCGUGGGGAGCAAACAGGAUUAGAUACCCUGGUAGUCCACGCUGUAAACGAUGUCGAUUUGGAGGUUGUGCCCUUGAGGCGUGGCUUCCGGAGCUAACGCGUUAAAUCGACCGCCUGGGGAGUACGGCCGCAAGGUUAAAACUCAAAUGAAUUGACGGGGGCCCGCACAAGCGGUGGAGCAUGUGGUUUAAUUCGAUGCAACGCGAAGAACCUUACCUACUCUUGACAUCCAGAGAACUUUCCAGAGAUGGAUUGGUGCCUUCGGGAACUCUGAGACAGGUGCUGCAUGGCUGUCGUCAGCUCGUGUUGUGAAAUGUUGGGUUAAGUCCCGCAACGAGCGCAACCCUUAUCCUUUGUUGCCAGCGGUUCGGCCGGGAACUCAAAGGAGACUGCCAGUGAUAAACUGGAGGAAGGUGGGGAUGACGUCAAGUCAUCAUGGCCCUUACGAGUAGGGCUACACACGUGCUACAAUGGCAUAUACAAAGAGAAGCGACCUCGCGAGAGCAAGCGGACCUCAUAAAGUAUGUCGUAGUCCGGAUUGGAGUCUGCAACUCGACUCCAUGAAGUCGGAAUCGCUAGUAAUCGUAGAUCAGAAUGCUACGGUGAAUACGUUCCCGGGCCU
rnacentral:rRNA from 1 species